AGUUUGUACACCAGUCCCAGAUGCUGGUGAGAGGACAGUGGUCACCCUGUGUGCCACUGAUGCAGCCCUCGCCCGCCCAGGGAUGCUGGGGCCAGGCUCUGGGAGCAGCAGCAUCCCCCUGAUGAACUCCAUCUGUAUUCCACAGGAACACCAUCAUACAGCCCCCCGGAAUGGACCCGCUUUGGCUGGUACCAUGGCGAGCCAGCUACCAUCUGGUCCCUGGGCAUCCUGCUGCACGAGAUGGUCUGUGGGAAGAUGCCUUUCAGGAGGGGCUGGAACUUCAGCUGGGGCCAGCUCUCACUGCCACAACGGCUCUCUCCAGAGUGCCAAAAUCUGAUCGGGUGGUGUUUAUCCAUGCACCCCUUGGCCAGACCCUCAUUAGAAGAGGUGUUCAGUCAUCCUUGGAUGCAGGAUAUUCAUCUGCCCUAGAAGAAGGGAGAGAGCCACAGGCACACUUAGAUCCAGGGCCCUGGGAAAGAGAAGGAGCCCCUGGAGAAGCUGUACCGGGUGGGGCUGCUGCUGCAGGAGACGGCGAGGAUGACAUGAUGAUGACAACCUCUCCCUGGACCUGGCCACCAGCAGUUGAAGAGGAAGCAUUCUAGGUGGUCCAGUCUGGAUUGGGAAGUGCUUGGGACCAGCUGCAGCGUGGAUGGGCCGUGCCCUUGGAGCAGGCUGAGGACAUCGUUUGGGACCAGCUUUUCUUCCAGCCGUGGAUGG